rnacentral:rRNA from 1 species
UACAGAGGGCGCGAGCGUUGUCCGGAAUCACUGGGCGUAAAGGGCGCGUAGGUGGCCACCAUAAGGCCGCGGUGAAAGCCCGGGGCUCAACCCCGGAAUGUCUUUCGAAACUGCUGAGCUAGAGUGCAGAAGAGGCAACUGGAAUUCCCAGUGUAGCGGUGAAAUGCGUAGAUAUUGGGAAGAGCACCUGAGGCGAAGGCGGGUUGCUGGGCUGACACUGACGCUGAGGCGCGAAAGCCAGGGGAGCGAACGGG